CAGCUGUAAAGUGUCUGUAGGAUAAAAGACGUUGCAUCUUUGCUCGUUUAUAGUUAUGGAUAUAACUCAAUUCUUUUGCUUAAAGCUGAUUUUAAUUGUCAGAAAAUCUGAUUUUCAGUUGAUGAAUCUGGGGAUGCUUUUAUAACUACUCUGCCUAUGUGAGAGCUGCCUCAGCCUGGACGGGUGCGAGGAUAUCCAGCUGUUCCUUGGGGCUUGGAGCAGGGCAGGGUGCAGAGCUCACGCCCAGGUCUCGGGGGCUGCGUGCUGGAGCAGGGAACCCGCGUGAGCACGAGCCAGAGAUUGGGACAUCGAACCAGCUAAGAGACAACAACCCAGUGAUGGCAGGAGUUUCCCAGAUAAUGGAACAGCUCUUCUCACCUGACCUGGAUUCUAAUACCUCGAUCUCUGACAGAUAAGUGCAGGGGUUCAACCCACAGUGGGGAUGGGAAUGAGUCUCUGGGUCUGGAAUUGUCAGGGGGGUGGAUUUUGGGAGUGCCAGGGAUUGGUGGGGAUCUCUGUGCGGUGAUUGCUGGGCAGGCGGGGUCUCUGUGAGGGCCCCUCUGAGACCCCUCCUCAAAUGCCCCCGUGUCUCUCCCCAGCAUCCGUGGGACGCUGCACUCAGUGGAUCAGGUGAGUGAGGGGUCCCGGGGGGGUCAAUGGGGGUUUUCAGACCCCUCUGACCCCCCCCUUGCUCUCUCCCCAGUACCUGAACAUCAAAUUGAUGGACAUCAGCGUCAUGGACCCCAAGAAGUACCCGCACAUGGUGCGGGGUGGGGGGCU